rnacentral:rRNA from 1 species
AGUGAACGCUGGCGGUAGGCCUAACACAUGCAAGUCGAACGGCAGCACAGGAGAGCUUGCUCUCUGGGUGGCGAGUGGCGGACGGGUGAGGAAUACAUCGGAAUCUACUCUGUCGUGGGGGAUAACGUAGGGAAACUUACGCUAAUACCGCAUACGACCUACGGGUGAAAGCAGGGGACCUUCGGGCCUUGCGCGAUUGAAUGGGCCGAUGUCGGAUUAGCUAGUUGGCGGGGUAAAGGCCCACCAAGGCGACGAUCCGUAGCUGGUCUGAGAGGAUGAUCGUCCACACUGGGACUGAGACAAGGUCCAGACUCCGACGGGAGGCAGAAGUGGGGAAUAUUGGACAAUGGGCGCAAGCCUGAUCCAGCCAUACCACGUGGGUGAAGAAGGCCUUCGGGUUGUAAAGCCCUUUUGUUGGGAAAGAAAUCCAGCUGGCUAAUACCCGGUUGGGAUGACGGUACCCAAGGAAUAAGCACCGGCUAACUUCGUGCCAGCCGCCGCGGUAA